CAAUGACUGAAAGUUCUAGAAUAUGGCUUCAAGCGAGACACUAAGAUGGACAGCUGAAGAAGCAGGAAGAGUUCGGUAUUAGCUACUUUUCUAUUUCUGUGAAGAAGCAUCAUGCCUUCACCAAGGCAACUUACUGAAAGAAGAGUUUACUGGGGCUUACAGCUGCAGAAAGAGAGUCCAUGACCAUUCUGCCUGGGGACAUGGCAUCAGGAAGACAGAUGUGGCACUGGAAAGGUUACUGAGAGCUUACAUCUUAUCCUCAGGAUGGAGAUAGAAACAGGUUUUACCAAAACUCAGUCACCAUAACAAAAGUCAGGAGACAGAAAUUAGGGAAAAUAUGCAACAACUGCUGAUAAAGACGAAUCAAAUACUGGAUUCUUCUGGCAAAGGUUUCACAUCAGUCAUAAUUUAAAAAAUAACGAUUAAACAAUUGCAAAAUGAAUAAAAAAAUGUGUGUACUAAUAA